GGCAAGGAGCACCAUGCUUGGCACAUGGAAAGAGCUUAGUAAAUAGUAGCUACUCUUAUUAGUCUGUUGUGGAGCUAAUUGGGAAUGAACAUGACUUAUUCACACAGUGAGGAGUGCUCAACCAGCCUGUCUUGUUAGUCUCUUUGUUAACCACCUUGCAACUGGAAUUUUUCUCUUUUGCCCUUCAAAUGCAUCUAAUCUGAGGAUUCCCUCCAGCCUCCUGCUGGCUGCAAAAAUCCAGCAGGAAUCUGCUUCUGCAGGGGCUGGCUUCCCAUCUGGCUGGAAUCACCCGCCAGCCACCCACAGCACGAGCACCUCACAAAUUAGGGAGAUCAGGAGCAGCCACUUCAGACAGUUCGCAGGCCGCAGGGUGCCGAUUGGUGGCAGAACCACUUGCUGAAGCUGAAAUUAACAGGUUUCUUGGGUUGAAGGCUUUAAUUAAAAAAUGCUAGGGAAUUAUUUCCUUAAUUCAGAGACUUCUUAGUAAUCACUUUCCCCUGCUUUGCCCUGAGACUCUUUAUCUUCAGCUAGAUUAAUAGAUGGUCUCAACAGCCUGAGCACAGGACCUGAGGCUGGAGUUUUGGGUUGUCAAAUGAGGUGGGUGCUCUUCAAGGCUCCGUUCUGGGGUUCCAGACCUCUUCAGGCUGCGUGUUGCCUUCGGUCCCCUGAAUUAGGUGAAUGGCUUAGCUGACUCGGGCUGCCAUUACAGAACGCCUUAGACUGGCGGCUGAAAUAACAGAAAUUGGUUCCCUCACAGUUCUGGAGGUUGGAAGUCUAAGAUCAAAGAGCUGAUUGAAGGUCUCUGGCAACCCGGCGUCGAGCAAGUCUGUCGGCAACGUUUUUCCAGCAGCGUCUGCUCACUGAGUGUCUCUGUGUCACGGCGGACAGCCGAUCUCAACUUCAAUAACCUUGCCAGAGGCCAGAACCUGGAACUGCAGGGCUCGUGGGCCAACUGAUGGAGCGGCCAGCAGGAGACGGGGCAGACGGCUGGGACGCCACGCUGAAUG
ensembl:lncRNA